rnacentral:rRNA from 1 species
GCAGUAGCCGCGGGAAUACGUAGGCGGCAAGCGUUGUCCGGAAUUAUUGGGCGUAAAGGGCUCGCAGGCGGUUUCUUAAGUCUGAUGUGAAAGCCCCCGGCUCAACCGGGGAGGGUCAUUGGAAACUGGGAAACUUGAGUGCAGAAGAGGAGAGUGGAAUUCCACGUGUAGCGGUGGAAUGCGUAGAGAUGUGGAGGAACACCAGUGGCGAAGGCGACUCUCUGGUCUGUAACUGACGCUGAGGAGCGAAAGCGUGGGGAGCGAACAGGAUUAGAGACCCCAGUAGUCCCUGUCUCUUAUAA